rfam:Lupinus angustifolius cultivar Tanjil chromosome LG01, whole genome shotgun sequence.
AUAAGUGGUAGAGCAUGUGGUUUAAUUCGAUGUAAAGGGAAGAACCUUACCAAAGCUUGACAUGUCAAUCCUCUUGAAAGAGAGGGGUGCCUUCGGGAACACAAACAAGGCAAUAAAUGAUUGUCGUCAACUCGUAACGUAAGGUCUUGGGUUAAGCCCCGCAACAAGCGCAACCUCGUAUUUAAUGGCUAACUUUGAGUUCAGAACCCUGAGCAGAAUGUCACUGAUAAGCUAGAGGAAGGUGAGGAUGACGUCAAGUUAUCAUGCCCCUUAUGUCCUAGGCGACACACAUGCUACAAUGGUCGAGAAAAGGAAUCGUGAUCUCGCAAGGAUGAACUAACUCCAAAAACACAUAUCCUUAGUUCGGAUUGUAGACUGCAACUCGCUGCAUGAAGCCGAAAUCAUUAGUAAUCACAUGAACAAGAUUUGGCACAAUGAUAAAUGCAUU